UCGAGCGAACAGACGAGGAGCUUGCUCCUCUGACGUUAGCGGCGGACGGGUGAGUAACACGUGGAUAACCUACCUAUAAGACUGGGACAACUUCGGGAAACCGGAGCUAAUACCGGAUAAUAUAUUGAACCGCAUGGUUCAAUAGUGAAAGACGGUUUUGCUGUCACUUAUAGAUGGAUCCGCGCCGCAUUAGCUAGUUGGUAAGGUAACGGCUUACCAAGGCAACGAUGCGUAGCCGACCCGAGAGGGUGAUCGGCCACACUGGAACUGAGACACGGUCCAGACUCCUACGGGAGGCAGCAGUAGGGAAUCUUCCGCAAUGGGCGAAAGCCUGACGGAGCAACGCCGCGUGAGUGAUGAAGGUCUUCGGAUCGUAAAACUCUGUUAUUAGGGAAGAACAAAUGUGUAAGUAACUAUGCACGUCUUGACGGUACCUAAUCAGAAAGCCACGGCUAACUACGUGCCAGCAGCCGCGGUAAUACGUAGGUGGCAAGCGUUAUCCGGAAUUAUUGGGCGUAAAGCGCGCGUAGGCGGUUUUUUAAGUCUGAUGUGAAAGCCCACGGCUCAACCGUGGAGGGUCAUUGGAAACUGGAAAACUUGAGUGCAGAAGAGGAAAGUGGAAUUCCAUGUGUAGCGGUGAAAUGCGCAGAGAUAUGGAGGAACACCAGUGGCGAAGGCGACUUUCUGGUCUGUAACUGACGCUGAUGUGCGAAAGCGUGGGGAUCAAACAGGAUUA
rnacentral:rRNA from 1 species